AGGAAUCGAAUGCUUUUUGAUGUGAAUUAUUUUCUGUUGAGAAUGAAUUUAAUAAUGAUUUUUUACCGAAAUGGAAAUCAAAUUCGAGUAUCCAAGUAGGCGUUGAAAAGCCAUCCGAAUAGGCCAUGAGCUUAAACUUCAAAACUGAAAAACCAUAGACCCUCAGAUCGGACGAGAAAUGCUCAUUCACAUUUAACUCCAGGUGAAACAAACAUCUACACUAAAAACUAAAAAACAAAACAAAAGUCUUCUUUUUCGGCAAAAAAUCCUACUUCCGUAAACAGGCUACACGAAGAUGUGCAAUCCUUGGAUGGGUUCAAUGCCCGGCACUUGCUGUGGACCAACUGGUGGACUGGGACCUUGUGGACUGUGUGGCCCCUACAAUGGCCAGUGGUUCAAGGCUAUCAAUCAUUGCUGCGGUCCAUGCGGGCCCUAUGGUUGUUGUUCCUGCUAUGGGCCGCACGGUGGUCACUGUUAGCCUGCUUAGAAGGAAAGUAGGAUGAAAACAAAUCUAAAUUAACCUGAGCGUUGGCCGAGAACAAGACAAGUUGGUGAAGAACUAGAAAUAAGUCUGAUACAAUGUGGAGACAAAUACAAGGAAGAACUAGAUAUAAGGAUGAUGCAAGUGGGGAGACAAAUACGAAGGGCAAUACAACUCAAUCAAACAUGUGUUAAGAAAAGCAAGAGAUUAUUUAAAACUAGACAAAAAAAGAAACAACCAACCAAAAAGAAAUAGCUUAAAUUACCGGAGAGUGUGUAAACGAAAUUAAAUAAAUUUCUGUAUAUUACGUAA